AUUGAACGCUGGCGGCAGGCCUAACACAUGCACGUCGAACGAGUGGCGGACGGGUGAGGAAUGUCUGGGAAACUGCCCGAUGGAGGGGGAUAACUACUGGAAACGGUAGCUAAUACCGCAUACCAUCGGAUGUGCCCAGAUGGGAUUAGCUAGUAGGAGGGGUAACGGCUCACCUAGGAGACGAUCCCUAGCUGGUCUGAGAGGAUGACCAGCCACAAUGGAACUGAUCGACGGCCCAGACUCCGACGGGAGGCAGCAGUGGGGAAUAUUGCACAAUGGGCGCAAGCCUGCUGCAACCAGGCCGCGUGUAUGAAGAAGGCCUUCGGGUUGUAAAGUACUUUCAGCGAGGAGGCGUUACUCGCAGAAGAAGCACCGGCUAACUCCGUGCCAGCAGCCGCGGUAAUUC
rnacentral:rRNA from 1 species